CCUACGGGUGGCAGCAGUCGAGAAUCAUUCACAAUGGGGGAAACCCUGAUGGGGCGACGCCGCGUGGGGGAAUGAAGGUCUGCGGAUUGUAAACCCCUGUCAUGUGGGAGCAAAUUCAAAAGAUAGUACCACAAGAGGAAGAGACGGCUAACUCUGUGCCAGCAGCCGCGGUAAUACAGAGGUCUCAAGCGUUGUUCGGAAUCACUGGGCGUAAAGGGUGCGUAGGCUGUUUCGUAAGUCGUGUGUGAAAGGCGCGGGCUCAACCCGCGGACGGCACCUGAAACUGUGAGACUAGAGUAAGGGAGGGGGAACCGGAAUUCUCGGUGUAGCGGUGAAAUGCGUAGAUAUCGGGAGGAACACUCGUGGCGAAGGCAGGUUCCUGGACAUUAACUGACGCUGAGGCACGAAGGCCUGGGGAGCGAACAGGAUUAGAUACCCCAGUAGUC
rnacentral:rRNA from 1 species